AUGAAAAUGCUCUCUCCCUCGUUCAUCCAUCAUCACCUUAAACUCUCACCUUUUCAUUCUUCCAUUCAGCAAAAAAAAAAACAUAACUGUAAGAAAUUCUCACCUCAUCGUCUCUCUACUUCUGCAACUGAAGUCCUCUCUACCCUCUGCCUCAAUCGUGUUCUACUUCAUCUUCAACCUCCUUCAAGCAACAACGUCGACAUCGUGAACUGCACCUUCAACGUUAUCGCAACCUACUUGCAGCGAUUCAUCGAUCUUUCUCCCUGA